ACCCGCUGAAUUUAAGCAUAUAAGUAAGCGGAGGAAAAGAAACUCAAGAGGAUUCCCUUAGUAAUGGCGAAUGAACAGGGGUAAGCUCAGAGUGGAAAUCGGGGCCUUUCUGGCUUCGAAUUGUGAUCUCGAGAUGUACAACCAGCAUGGGGUGCAGGUAUAAGCCUUUUGGAAAAGAGCACCAGCGAGGGUGAGAGUCCCAUUCGUUACCUGUAGCCCCCAGUGCAUGGUGUGCAUUCUAAGAGUCACGCUCCUCGGGAUUGGAGCGCAAAGUGGGUGGUAAAUUUCAUCUAAAGCUAAAUACGGGCCUGAGACCGAUAGCACACAAGUACCCUGAGGGAAAGGUGAAAAGGACUUUGGAAAGAGAGUUAAACAGAGCCUGCCAUUGCUGAAAGGGAAGCGAACGAAAUCAGUGUGACUGGGCGAGAUCGGGCCGUGCCAUGGUGAGCUUCUGCGAACUGGACGUGCGGCUCAUUUCUUGCCCUGUCGGUCAACAGUGCUGCAAGCGCGAGGAAAAGAGUAUUGGACUGUCAGCUCGCCUACGGGGGAGUGAAUGCCUUUGCUACUACUUGCGCGCGUAGUGCCGCUUGGCUAUAUGGUUUCUUUCGACCCGUCUUGAAACACGGACCAAGGAGUCUAACAUAUGUGCGAGUCUGCAUGUGUUUAAACCUGUUAGCGCAAUGAAAGUGACUGCUAGAAAUUGUGCACUGGCAACCGACCAAUCGCUUGAGAAAGGUUUGAGUAUGAGCAUGUCUGUUAGACCCGAAAGAUGGUGAACUAUGCCCGUGA
rnacentral:rRNA from 1 species